rnacentral:lncRNA from 1 species
AAAAUAUAUUUCGAUAAUAAUUUUUUUAAUAAAAAUAUAUAAUUUUCUUUAUUGUACUUAUUUUCAUAAUUCCAAAUAAAACGUAAAGCUAAUUGUGAUAUAUGACAGCAAAUCAGGAGCUUAUCAACAAAGUAUUAUUUGUUGGGACACCGUCCACCAAAGUUUUUUUUUUUUUUUUUUUUUUCCUCCGAACUUCACCAU